AUGUUUUGCUUUAUGAUCGACUGUUCCGCGGUGUGGCGGCCUCGGCUGGUCAGUGGUUGGUGCGUGUAGGCUCGGCCGUUUGCGGUCGAACGGUGAGCGUCGUCGUCGCCGGUGCUGGUGCUGGAGAGAGCGGUACCUAGGGCCCUUCCUCGUCUGCCCGUGCGGGCUCGGGCCGCGCCGCCGCACCGCGUGGGCGCGCCACACGCCGUGCCUCAUGUCGACCACGGCGCGGCACGGCCCGCCGUGGCCGUGGUGCGAGGAGCGCGAGGCGGAGAGCGCGGCGCCGCGGCGGCGCCGGCUCCGCCGGCAGGCGAGUGAGGUCUCGCGCGUGGGGCAGGAGGCGCGGGUGUAGGCGCGCCGGAGGUGGAGGUCGGGGUGGGAGCGGGAGGGGAGGGGGCGAGGCGUCGAGCGGGAGCGCGGGGUCGGCAGGCGCGAGCUGAAGCUGAGUGAGGACCUCGCGCUCGAGUUGUCGUUGGGUACCCGCCGGCUCUUGCCCGGGCUGCCCCGGGGCCACGAGAAGCGGCGCGAGAUGCUCGAAGGGGGCGGGCGCCCGCCGCGCCGAGACAAGCAGGCCUAGGUGUGCCGGCGCACGCUGGCGCGCCGCAGACGCCGCGACGACUCCCUCGACGACCGCGUAGACCCGCCGCGCCCGCUGGGCCUCCUCCUCCUCCUUCGCCGCCACCUCCGCCCCGACCUCCUGUCCUAUGGCGUCUUCCUGCGCACCUUCGGCAAGACCCGCGCACCCCACCUGUACCACCCGAUGAGGUAGUUGCCGGACGCGUGCAGGUGCGACGGCAAGCACCUCUGGCCGUGCCGCUCCAGCUGCGUCUACCGCACGUUCCUCUUGCCCCACUUCGAAACGAGCCGGUACCGACGGCGCUGCGACGAUCGACGUGCCGUUAGAUUCUUCGACCUGUCACCGGUCGUCCUCUGCAUGAGACACCGCUGGGACUAGUUGACGGCGGUCAAAGAACUCGGUCGAAACCUGCUAGUGUUGCAACCCAAGAAGAUGAGACGGUAGUGGUUGUGGGUGUUCUAUGUGCCUCUCCUCCCCGACACCCUCGACCGGUUCUCCACGGUGCUAAGGAUGUAGUCACGGUUCUUGUCGUUCUUCGUGGAGUGGCUGUGGCGGCUGGAGUUGAAGGAGUACACGGCCCGGUAGCUCUUGGGCGUCGACUGCUGCCGGAGGCGCGAGGCGUGACGCGAGCAGAGGCACAAGCUCCUCGGCCGUUGGAUGCUGCCGGACAGGCUGGACGUCUCGUUCCGGCCGCACCUCCUCAUGCAGCCGACGCGGUGGCACGUGCCGUAGCCGGGCAGCUAGCCGCACAAGCUGAGACAGUCCCUGCCCGUCGACCUGACGCGCACGUACAUGGGAAGAGGAGACGUAAGGUCCUUCGUCUAUGUCCUCUAUAAGCUGUUCCACUUCGCCUAAAACCCGCUUCCCACGUUGCGCCCACUACUCUUUGGUACUUCUAACAUGCAUCCCCGAAACACCCACGAUCUAAGCUUCUUACAACAAGGCUUGUUGCCCUAGCUGAUCCACAUUCAGCUAACUAAAAGUGAAAACCCAGCCAGGUGGGUGGCGUUCGGAAUAAAAUCUUUAAAUGAAAACGACAUGUAUCAUUGACGUAGUACAUACGAGAACACACGUACAGAGAAACGUCAUGCACCAUUAAGGUACGUACAUACGACGACACACCGACAGAAACCACAAGUCGGCUCAUGAUGAUAAUGAUGCUUAAAUGCACACUUAACUAC
rnacentral:rRNA from 1 species